rnacentral:rRNA from 1 species
CACACUAUUUCCCCGGUUGGUCUGUAGUAGACAGUAGCCAUAACUUGUCCGGAUGUCAGCGGCGGACGGGUGAGUAACACGUGGGUUACCUGCCUGUAGACUGGGAUAACUCCGGGAAACCGGCCUAAUACCGGAUGCUUCCUUGAACCGCAUGCUGUUUCUGAAAGCUGGCUUUAAGCAUCAACUAUUGAGGAAUGGCUUAGCCUCGGGAGUCGGUGGGGUAUGGGCUGACCAGUGCAGAAGGGGGCGCCAAUGGGAUGGGUGGAGGCUGACUGACCUGUGCAAGGGUUAGAUGGUUGGCACGGGGGUACGAAGAUGGGAAUUAUAUGGAAAGAGUCAGGUGGGGUCGAGGGGAUGAUUCCAUCUACUAUGGUCUGGGCAGAAGGUUGUGGGUUACCUUGAGUCUAACUAUCAUGUUUUGGGCAGAGGGAAUUUUGGUGAUGUAUUAAAUUAUGGGAAAGCGGGGGGUUUAUUUUUUAUUGGCCAAGGGGUUUUGAAUGUUUUGGGGGAAGGGGAAUUUUUUUGGGUUUAGAGAUGGGGGGGGGCCCCCUUUUGUCCCCCUUUUUUUUCUUGGGGGGGGGGGAGAGGAAGGAAAAAUUAAAAAAAAAUUGUAUUUUUUUUCUCUCCCCUUUCCGCCACAAAAGAAAGAAAAAAAAAGGGGGGGGGGGGGGGGGGGGUGAUCCUCCCCCUCCCCUCGGGGCGCGCGCGCAAAAAAAAAUUAUGAUCCUCCCCCCCCCCCGGGGGGGGGGGGGGGGGGGCCCCCCCCAGAAGGGGGGGGGGGGGGGGGGGGGGGGUGGUGGUUUUUUUUUUUUUUUAGAGAGGGGGGUGGCAGAUAUAUAUAAUUGUUUCUGUUUCCCUCUUUAUCCCAUGGGGUCCCCCCCCGCGCGGGGGGGGGGUGCCCUGUGUUGGGAUUUUUUUUUUUCGUCCCCCCACUGAAUGAGAGAUAUUAUUUAUGAAUCGAUGCUCUAAUGUUUUGUCACUUGUACUGUCAUGAGCAAAUGUUUGAAUGAUA